rnacentral:rRNA from 1 species
UACGUAGGGUGCGAGCGUUGUCCGGAAUUAUUGGGCGUAAAGAGCUCGUAGGCGGUGUGUCGCGUCGGCCGUGAAAACCUGGGGCCCAACUCUGGGCGUGCGGUCGAUACGGGCAUCACUUGAGUUCGGCAGGGGAGACUGGAAUUCCUGGUGUAGCGGUGAAAUGCGCAGAUAUCAGGAGGAACACCGGUGGCGAAGGCGGGUCUCUGGGCCGAUACUGACGCUGAGGAGCGAAAGCUAGGGGAGCAAACGGG